AUGUCUAAUGUUUUUCCGCCUGGGAAAUUAAUCAGACUAUUGCGAGCGGAACGAGCAGGGCGAGCUUUGGAUGAAUCGAUCUAUUAUUGGGAAAUCUUAUUGGGAAUAACAAGGGCUUCCCUGAAUAUCCAAAGUUUCAUAUCUGAAGCAAGUUUUCAAGAAACUGCUCAAGUUUUAGCAAAAGCUGCCCUACGAGGUCGCAUUGAUUGGUUGAAAGGCUUGAAAGAAAACAUAGUUCUGGGGGGAUACCCGUUGGUACCGGAUUCCAAAAAUUUGUGCAUCGUUCCCCACAAGAAAAGAACCUUUAUUUCGACAAAAAAAUCUAUUCGCGUCGGAAAUGAGAGAUUUUUUUGUUUCUCCAUGCAGAAUUAG
rnacentral:rRNA from 1 species